rnacentral:rRNA from 1 species
UACGUAGGGGGCAAGCGUUGUCCGGAUUUACUGGGCGUAAAGAGCUCGUAGGUGGUUUGUCGCGUUGUUCGUGAAAACUCACAGCUCAACUGUGGGCGUGCGGGCGAUACUGGCAGACUAGAGUACUGCAGGGGAGACUGGAAUUCCUGGUGUAGCGGUGGAAUGCGCAGAUAUCAGGAGGAACACCGGUGGCGAAGGCGGGUCUCUGGGCAGUAACUGACGCUGAGGAGCGAAAGCGUGGGGAGCGAACAGG